rnacentral:rRNA from 1 species
AGCCUGCCCAGUGACCAAGUUAAACGGCCGCGGUACCCUAACCGUGCAAAGGUAGCGCAAUCACUUGUUCUUUAAAUGAGGACUAGUAUGAACGGCAUCACGAGGGUUACACUGUCUCCCCACUCCACUCAGUGAAACUGAUCUCCCCGUGAAGAAGCGGGGAUAAAAAUAUAAGACGAGAAGACCCCAUGGAGCUUUAAACUCAGUAUCAUCUGCUACCACAAUAGCCAAGUAACAAUGCAGCAAUGACAACUAGUUUUUGGUUGGGGUGACCGCGGAGUAAAACAAAACCUCCGCAACGAAAGGAACUAACAACCUAAUCUAAGAGUAACAGCUCUAAGAAUCAUAUAAAUUGACCUAACUGAUCCAAUUACUUGAUCAACGAACCAAGUUACCCUGGGGAUAACAGCGCAAUCCAUUUAAAGAGCUCAUAUCGACAAAUGGGUUUACGACCUCGAUGUUGGAUCAGGGUAUCCCAGUGGCGCAGCAGCUACUAACGGUUCGUUUGUUCAACGAUUAAA